UUCAACUCUUUCUCUAUCUCCCUCUCAAGUAUUAGUGUACUACUCUUAUCUGUUUAGAUUGUUAUCACCAGAUAAGUUGGAUUUUAUUCCUUGCUUUUCGGUUAUUCAAGCUUGCUUGCUUUUAAGUUCAAUAGCAAAAGCUAAAAAGCGAAAAACAAACCUCGGUUCACGAAUUGGGUAUUGGCCAGAUCUUGGAUUAGAACCACAGAUUCUACGCAAAUCAUUUUGACUUUGGAGGUCCAUUUUAUUGGCGUGAUAAUGGAU
rnacentral:misc_RNA from 1 species